GAUGAAGAACGUAGCGAAAUGCGAUAAGUAAUGUGAAUUGCAGAAUUCAGUGAAUCAUCGAAUCUUUGAACGCAUCUUGCGCUCCUUGGUAUUCUGAGGAGCAUGCCUGUUUGAGUGUCAUUAAAUUCUCAACUACACUGACUUUGAAUUGGUGUGGCUUGGAUUUGGGGGGAAAAUUGUUGUGGGCUUUUUGUAUAGUCUGCUCCCCUGAAAUUGAUUAGCGGUACCUUUGUGGAACUGUCUACAGGUUUGAUAAUUAUCUACAUCUUAGACAUCUGCUGGAAUGCUGCUUUCUAAACCUUACUUGUAUUGACAAUCUUGACCUCAAAUCAGGUAGGACUACCCGCUGAACUUAAGCAUAUCAAUAAGCGGAGGA
rnacentral:misc_RNA from 1 species